rnacentral:rRNA from 1 species
UUAAGAAUCUUGCACAAUGGGCGCAAGCCUGAUGCAGCGACGCCGCGUGAAUGAUGAAGGCUUUAGGGUUGUAAAGUUCAGUAAGCAGGGAAGAAUAAGCGCCGGGUAAUAUUCGGUGUGAUGACGGUACCUGCCUAAAGCCCCGGCUAACUACGUGCCAGCAGCCGCGGUAAAACGUAGGAGGCGAGCGUUAUCCGGAUUUACUGGGCGUAAAGCGUGUGUAGGCGGUUUGAUAAGUUGGGUGUGAAAGCUCCCGGCUCAACUGGGAGAGGUUGCUCAAGACUGUUCGACUAGAGCGUGGUAGGGGAAGGCGGAAUUCCGGGUGUAGUGGUGAAAUGCGUAGAUAUCCGGAGGAACACCAGAGGCGAAAGCGGCCUUCUAGGCCACGGCUGACGCUCAGACGCGAAAGCUAGGGGAGCAAACG